CCCUUAGAUGUUCUGGGCCGCACGCGCGCUACAAUGAUGAAUUCAACGAGUUUACAACCUUGGUCGAGAGGCCUGGGUAAUCUUUUCAACUUUCAUCGUGAUGGGGCUAGAUUCUUGCAAUUUUUGAUCUCCAACGAGGAAUUCCUAGUAAACGCAAGUCAUCAACUUGCAUUGAUUACGUCCCUGCCCUUUGUACACACCGCCCGUCGCACCUACCGAUUGAAUGGUCCGGUGAAAUCUUCGGAUUGUGGCUUUGACUUGUUCAUUCAAGACGUUGCUGUGAAAAGUUGAUUAAACCUUACCAUUUAGAGGAAGGUGAAGUCGUAACA
rnacentral:rRNA from 1 species